GACGAACGCUGGCGGCGUGCUUAACACAUGCAAGUCGAACGAUGAAGCCGGAGCUUGCUCUGGUGAAUUAGUGGCGAACGGGUGAGUAACACGUGAGUAACCUGCCCUUGACUCUGGGAUAACUGCGGGAAACUGUAGCUAAUACCGGAUACGACCCUCGGAGGCAUCUCCUGGGGGUGGAAAGAAUUUCGGUCAAGGAUGGACUCGCGGCCUAUCAGCUAGUUGGUGAGGUAAAGGCUCACCAAGGCGACGACGGGUAGCCGGCCUGAGAGGGUGACCGGCCCAACUGGGAUUGGGACACGGCCCAGACUCCUACGGGAGGCAGCAGUGGGGAAUAUUGCACAAUGGGCGCAAGCCUGAUGCAGCAACGCCGCGUGAGGGAUGACGGCCUUCGGGUUGUAAACCUCUUUUAGCAGGGAAGAAGCGAAAGUGACGGUACCUGCAGAAAAAGCACCGGCUAACUACGUGCCAGCCGCCGCCGUAA
rnacentral:rRNA from 1 species